AGGGUUUGAUCAUGGCUCAAGAUGAACGCUGGCGGCGUGCUUAACACAUGCAAGUCGAACGAACCUUCGGGUUAGUGGCGGACGGGUGAGUAACGCGUGAGAAUCUGCCCUCAGGAGGGGGAUAACGGUUGGAAACGACCGCUAAUACCCCAUAUGCCUACUGGUGAAAUGAAUUUCGCCUGAGGAUGAGCUCGCGUCUGAUUAGCUAGUUGGUGAGGUAAUGGCUCACCAAGGCUUCGAUCAGUAGCUGGUCUGAGAGGAUGAUCAGCCACACUGGGACUGAGACACGGCCCAGACUCCUACGGGAGGCAGCAGUGGGGAAUUUUCCGCAAUGGGCGAAAGCCUGACGGAGCAACGCCGCGUGAGGGACGAAGGCCUCUGGGCUGUAAACCUCUUUUCUCAAGGAAGAAGAUAUGACGGUACUUGAGGAAUAAGCCACGGCUAAUUCCGUGCCAGCAGCCGCGGUAAUACGGGAGUGGCAAGCGUUAUCCGGAAUUAUUGGGCGUAAAGCGUCCGCAGGCGGCUUUUCAAGUCUGCUGUUAAAGCGUGGAGCUUAACUCCAUCAUGGCAGUGGAAACUGAAAGGCUUGAGUAUGGUAGGGGCAGAGGGAAUUCCCGGUGUAGCGGUGAAAUGCGUAGAUAUCGGGAAGAACACCAGUGGCGAAGGCGCUCUGCUGGGCCAUUACUGACGCUCAUGGACGAAAGCCAGGGGAGCGAAAGGGAUUAGAUACCCCUGUAGUCCUGGCCGUAAACGAUGAACACUAGGUGUCGGGGGAAUCGACCCCUUCGGUGUCGUAGCUAACGCGUUAAGUGUUCCGCCUGGGGAGUACGCACGCAAGUGUGAAACUCAAAGGAAUUGACGGGGGCCCGCACAAGCGGUGGAGUAUGUGGUUUAAUUCGAUGCAACGCGAAGAACCUUACCAGGGUUUGACAUCCUGCGAACCUCUUAGAAAUUUGAGGGUGCCUUCGGGAAUGCAGUGACAGGUGGUGCAUGGCUGUCGUCAGCUCGUGUCGUGAGAUGUUGGGUUAAGUCCCGCAACGAGCGCAACCCACGUUUUUAGUUGCCAGCAUUUAGUUGGGCACUCUAGAAAGACCGCCGGUGAUAAACCGGAGGAAGGUGUGGAUGACGUCAAGUCAUCAUGCCCCUUACACCCUGGGCUACACACGUACUACAAUGCUACGGACAAAGGGCAGCAAACUCGCGAGAGCUAGCAAAUCCCAUAAACCGUGGCUCAGUUCAGAUCGUAGGCUGCAACUCGCCUACGUGAAGUAGGAAUCGCUAGUAAUCGCAGGUCAGCAUACUGCGGUGAAUACGUUCCCGGGCCUUGUACACACCGCCCGUCACACCAUGGAAGUUGGCCAUGCCCGAAGUCGUUACUCCAACCCUUGUGGAGGAGGACGCCGAAGGUGGGGCUAAUGACUGGGGUGAAGUCAUAACAAGGUAACCGUA
rnacentral:rRNA from 1 species